rnacentral:miRNA from 1 species
AACCUCGUCAACCAGGAGGAGGGAAUGCUGGCCGGCGACGAGGUUGUACAACCUCGCCGGCCAGCAUUCCCUCCUCCUGGUCGACGAGGUU